UACAGAGGGUGCAAGCGUUGUUCGGAAUUAUUGGGCGUAAAGCGCGUGUAGGCGGCUUUGCAAGUCGGGUGUGAAAGCCCUCAGCUCAACUGAGGAAGUGCGCCCGAAACUGCAGAGCUUGAGUGCCGGAGAGGGUGGCGGAAUUCCCCAAGUAGAGGUGAAAUUCGUAGAUAUGGGGAGGAACACCGGUGGCGAAGGCGGCAUCCUGGACCGAUAUUGACGCUGAUGCGCGAAAGCCAGGGGAGCAAACGGG
rnacentral:rRNA from 1 species